rnacentral:rRNA from 1 species
UACGUAGGGGGCAAGCGUUGUCCGGAAUCAUUGGGCGUAAAGAGCGUGUAGGCGGCCAAGCAGGUCCGCUGUGAAAACUCGAGGCUCAACCUCGAGACGUCGGCGGAAACCAUCUGGCUAGAGUCCGGAAGAGGAGAAUGGAAUUCCCGGUGUAGCGGUGAAAUGCGUAGAGAUCGGGAAGAACAUCGGUGGCGAAAGCGCUCUGCUGGACUGCAACUGACACUCAGGGACGAAAGCUAGGGGAGCGAAUGGG